rnacentral:rRNA from 1 species
UACGUAGGGUGCAAGCGUUAAUCGGAAUUACUGGGCGUAAAGCGUGCGCAGGCGGUUAUGUAAGACGGAUGUGAAAUCCCCGGGCUCAACCUGGGAACUGCAUUUGUGACUGCAUAGCUAGAGUACGGUAGAGGGGGAUGGAAUUCCGCGUGUAGCAGUGAAAUGCGUAGAUAUGCGGAGGAACACCGAUGGCGAAGGCAAUCCCCGUGGACCUGUACUGACGCUCAUGCACGAAAGGCGUGGGGAGCAAACAGG